rnacentral:hammerhead_ribozyme from 1 species
AUCCAUCUGACGAGUCCUAAAUAGGAUGAAACGCGUGUCCUGGAU